CCCUGAAAAUGGAUGGCGCUAGAGCGUNNAGCCUAUACCAGNNNGUCGCCGCACUACGAGCCCCCCGGGUGCCAUGCGGNNACGAGUAGGAGGGCCGCCGCGGUGAGCACUGAAGCUUCGGGCGCGAGCCUGGGUGGAGCCGCCGC
rnacentral:rRNA from 2 species